rnacentral:tRNA from 1 species
GACCUUGUAGCUCAGAAGGUAGAGCAUCGUUCCAGAAAUGCGAAGGUCGCGGGUUCGAAUCCCAGCCGCGGUCA